rnacentral:tRNA from 1 species
GCCUUGCUAGCUCAAUCGGUAGAGCGUAAGACUCUUAAACGGUAUCUCAAGGUUGCGGGUUCGACCCCCGCGUGGGGCU